rnacentral:rRNA from 1 species
UACGUAGGGUGCAAGCGUUAAUCGGAAUUACUGGGCGUAAAGCGUGCGCAGGCGGUUUUGUAAGCCAGAUGUGAAAUCCCCGGGCUUAACCUGGGAAUGGCAUUUGGGACUGCAAGGCUUGAGUGCGGCAGAGGAGACUGGAAUUCCUGGUGUAGCAGUGAAAUGCGUAGAUAUCAGGAGGAACACCGAUGGCGAAGGCAGGUCUCUGGGCUGACACUGACGCUCAUGCACGAAAGCGUGGGGAGCAAACAGG